rnacentral:sRNA from 1 species
GCGCGCCGGGUGACAACCGGCCGUAACGGAGACGAUCGACGCAGCUGAUUUUGCCGGUUUCUGGCUGCGGCAACAACGCAUCGGUACGCGUUUGAUCUAACCCGUUCCCGGC